AUCCAGGGAAAACCUCAGGUAUGAGGGCCUGAACUAGGGUAGGGGCAGAGGGACUGGAGAACAGAGGAUCAGGAACAGAUGCGAAAGUCACAGGUAGAGGCCCAUUUGGGGUGGAAGAUGACAGAGUGGGUGAGACUGAGUUCGAGGUGGAAAUAAAACAUCGUGCUGCUGUGCCACGGGAGAGAAUCAGGAAGGAAAAGGAUUGGAGAAGCCUGGGUGGAUGAGGUGACAUUCGUGGGACCUCACAAGAGGUGGAAGGUGGCCCCCAGGCACAGAGGAGGGGGCAGGGAACUCCAGGCCCAGGGAGCCGUGAGUAGUAAGCACAAGGGCAGAGAGGCAGAAAACAAGGUCACUCUCCUGAACUGCAAAUACCUCACUCUGUGGCUGGAGCAGAGGGAGGAGGGGAGGAGGCAGCAAGAGAUGGAGCUGGAGAAAUCGCCAUGGGCCAGACGGCGGCCGAGAGAGCUCCGUGCACCUCGCAGCUCACCUGGACUUUAUCCAAGGCUGAGGCCCCGAAACGCUUAAGGAGGAAGGAGGAAGCACAGUCAGAGAGCGGACGUGCCCUGCGGAGGUCUAAAGCUACUGAAGGCUGGGACUUGCGUUCGGGAUUCCUGAUUGCCCAAAGGCCAGGGCCUUCUCACUACUCGAAAUCCGAAAGCCUCCGUCAGAGAGCAGCUUGACAAGGCCACGUUGCCGCUGUGUGCAAGCACCACCAGUGUCUGCUAUGUCAUCAGGAGGUGUGGCGUUGGUACAGAUUCCCGGAACCCUGCCAAGCUCUGCAGUUGUCUGGUGGCAGGCUGUUCGACAACUGACGGCGAGGGCUCCCGGCUGCUGGACACGGCCCUCCCUGUCGGGGCGCCUCACCUGGAGGACGGGAAGGAAGAGGACUGGCGAAGGGCCAGGCCAUGCUCUAAGACGGUCCGAGGGUAGCCAACACUCCUCGCUGACUGUAAAGCUCCUGCUGGAUUUGCCGCUCCUGCCGUCCCCAGAUACGAGGCAAGACGCUGGACUGGACGAAGCUGGGGCAAGGGCCCGGAUUUAAACCGUGGUGGAAAGAGUUACAAGUGAGGAGGAGGACUCUGGGAGGAAAGGAGGGGGGAGACGCUGUUCUGAGCACAGACGUACUGUUUUCCUGCCUGCCCUGCCAAUGUCCCCGAUCUCACCGAGCUACCGGGACUAGGGGGUGGGGGGGGGUCGGGAAGCUGGUGAGAGCUCCCGCAGGCAGCUGCAGUGGCCUGAAGAGCAGCCACAGGGAGGAGGGACGAGAGAAGAUGUGGCAUCCCUGCAGUGACACGGCUCUGCUGGCGAGCUCACCACAGUAAGCAAUUUUUCCACAGAGGGAACCAUCCAAAGGAAACCGGUAAGACCAAACGUUUGGAGCUCACACGCAUGACAAACGGUUGCUCCCGUCUGCACAGUCUGCCAUCACCGGCUCCCUCUUCAUGCUUCAUCAGCUCCACUUGCAGUGGGUGUUUCAAAUUAUGGAAACGACAUGAGUGGGGUUCGUAUGUAACCCAAAAAUCUGGUGAGCAGAGGCCCUAACUCCAUCCUGAAGGGAAGAUUAUUUGUGGGCGUGUGUAUGCGGGUGUGCUCACCACUUGGAAGGGACUUACUUCCAGUGUCUGAGGCUCCUGGAAGAUUCCAGAACGGUGCACAGGGUUUAGACUGGUUUUUGGAGGGGCCGAUACACAAAGCAGUCACUACACUGGGCUCUGACCACAGGAUGCCAUGUCUCUCGGGGGCUUGGUGGAGAAAGUUCUACGAGAGGGUGCAAGGGGUAGGGGAGGUAGAGCAUCAGCUUAGAGGAGGCUCCGGAGGAAGCCUCAGAAACACCUACCUGUGCAGCUGCCAUGGAAACCCCAAGUGGCUGGAAAUUACUGGCUUUGGAUCUAACCGCGCUCCUGGAUUGGGCCCACCACACCUAUCUGCCUCCAAAUUAAGUCAUUUACCGGCCCAGAAGGGUCACCUCUAGGAGGUGCUUACAAAUAACGUGCCCUGGCAGAGAAAGAAGUGAUUUGAAAAAUCUUAACUGGUGGUAGCAGAGAGAUGGUAUAAAAACACCGGCCUCGUCACGGUUACUUAAUGGGCAGCCAGCUCUCCUGGUUAACUUAGGAUCCACACUGGUUGAAACGCUGUUGUAGAUAACAUCAGUCAGAUUCACCUGGCUGCGGAGCACCUGGGUGGCUCAGUGGUUGAGCGUCUGCCUUCGGCUCCUGGGAUCCAGUCCCACAUCGGGCUCCCAGCAGGGAGCCUGCUUCUCCCUCUGCCUGUGUCUCUGCUCCUCUCUCUGUGUCUCUCAUGAAUAAAUAAAAUAUUUUUUAAAAAUUCUGAUUUUUUGACAUUUUUAUUAGAAAGAAGUUCCAUGAAGACAGAUAAAAUCUUAAAAAAACAAAAAACAAAAAACAAAAAAACCCCCAGAUUCACCUGGCUGCUUUUGUGAUGGAAGAUUCCCAGCCUGGAUGUGAAAGUUUCUUUGCCACUGCUCUCUGCGCGUGUGCAAGAACAUGGUUCGAAAGCUACAUGGCAACAGUAUGGCAAGGCCAGCCCUUUAACACAGAUCUGGGAUUGCUCAAGGGAAAGUCCAUAGUUUCCUUAAAAGAGAAAGACUAUCUACCCCAACGAUGCUGUAAAAACACAUAAAUCCUGGUUCUCUCUCUUAAUUGUUAACAUCGCAAAUUACCUAACCUUUCUCUGAGUUUCAAUUUCUUCACCUAUAAAGACAUAUCACAUUACAUACCAUCUAGGAUUGCUAUAAAAUGUAAUGCCCACAAGGCCUGCGUGCAGAGCCUUGCCCUCCCCACCGUGAAGGGUGGUAUUCACAGGUUCACUUUCUACCCAUUCCAGAGUCAGAGCUAUGUACCAACUGUAUA